UACAGAGGGGGCAAGCGUUGUUCGGAAUUACUGGGCGUAAAGGGCGCGUAGGCGGCCUGUUAAGUCGGACGUGAAAUCCCUCGGCUCAACCGGGGAACUGCGUCCGAUACUGGCGGGCUUGAAUUCGGGAGAGGGAUGUGGAAUUCCAGGUGUAGCGGUGAAAUGCGUAGAUAUCAGGAGGAACACCGGUGGCGAAGGCGGGUCUCUGGGCCGUAACUGACGCUGAGGAGCGAAAGCGUGGGGAGCGAACAGG
rnacentral:rRNA from 1 species